GGGGUGCCCAGGCGCGAAAACUUUACACUGUUCGGCAACGGCGAUAAGGGAACCUCGAGUGCCAGGUUACAAAUCUGGCUGUCGUGAUGCCUAAAAAGCAUUGCAUAGCAAGGGCCGGGCAAGACCGGUGCCAGCCGCCGCGGUAACACCGGCGGCUCGAGUGGUAACCGUUAUUAUUGGGUCUAAAGGGUCUGUAGCCGGCCGGGUAAGUCUCUUGGGAAAUCUGGCAGCUUAACUGUCAGGCUUUCAGGAGAUACUGCCUGGCUCGAGGCCGGGAGAGGUGAGAGGUACUUCAGGGGUAGGGGUGAAAUCUUGUAAUCCUUGAAGGACCACCAGUGGCGAAGGCGUCUCACCAGAACGGACCUGACGGCAAGGGACGAAAGCUAGGGGCACGAACCGGAUUAGAUACCCGGGUAGUCCUAGCCGUAAACGAUACUCGCUAGGUGUCGGCCACGGUGCGACCGUGGUCGGUGCCGUAGGGAAGCCGUGAAGCGAGCCACCUGGGAAGUACGGCCGCAAGGCUGAAACUUAAAGGAAUUGGCGGGGGAGCAC
rnacentral:rRNA from 1 species